rnacentral:rRNA from 1 species
CAGCCGCCGCGGUAAUACGUAGGUGGCAAGCGUUGUCCGGAAUUAUUGGGCGUAAAGGGCUCGCAGGCAGUUUCUUAAGUCUGAUGUGAAAGCCCCCGGCUCAACCGGGGAGGGUCAUUGGAAACUGGGAAACUUGAGUGCAGAAGAGGAGAGUGGAAUUCCACGUGUAGCGGUGAAAUGCGUAGAGAUGUGGAGGAACACCAGUGGCGAAGGCGACUCUCUGGUCUGUAACUGACGCUGAGGAGCGAAAGCGUGGGGAGCGAACAGGAUUAGAUACCCCCGUAGUCCCUGUCUCUUAUAC